UUGAUGGAGAGUUUGAUCCUGGCUCAGGACGAACGCUGGCGGCGUGCUUAACACAUGCAAGUCGAACGAGAUCGAGGCUUCGGCCUCAAUGAUCUAGUGGCGAACGGGUGCGUAACACGUGAGAAACCUGCCCUGAAGAUCGGAAUAACCCAAGGAAACUCGGGCUAAUACCGAAUGCCUUCCCACCACCGCAUGGUGGAGGGAAGAAAUGCUCCGGCGCUUUGGGAGGGUCUCGCGGCCUAUCAGCUAGUUGGUGAGGUAACGGCUCACCAAGGCAUCGACGGGUAGCUGGUCUGAGAGGACGAUCAGCUGGGACUGAGACACGGCCCAGACUCCUACGGGAGGCAGCAGUGGGGAAUCUUGCGCAAUGGGCGAAAGCCUGACGCAGCAACGCCGCGUGAGGGAAGACGGCUCUCGGGUUGUAAACCUCUUUCAGCAGGGACGAAAUUGACGGUACCUGCAGAAGAAGCGCCGGCCAACUACGUGCCAGCAGCCGCGGUAACACGUAGGGCGCAAGCGUUGUCCGGAUUUAUUGGGCGUAAAGGGCUCGUAGGCGGUUUCGUAAGUCGGGUGUGAAAACUCAGGGCUCAACCCUGAGACGCCACUCGAUACUGCGAUGACUUGAGUCCGGUAGGGGAGCAGGGAAUUCCUGGUGUAGCGGUGAAAUGCGCAGAUAUCAGGAGGAACACCAUUAGCGAAGGCGCUGCUCUGGGCCGGUACUGACGCUGAGG
rnacentral:rRNA from 1 species